GAUGAACGCUGGCGGCGUGCCUAAUACAUGCAAGUCGAGCGAACAGACGAGGAGCUUGCUCCUCUGACGUUAGCGGCGGACGGGUGAGUAACACGUGGCUAACCUACCUAUAAGACUGGGAUAACUUCGGGAAACCGGAGCUAAUACCGGAUAAUAUAUUGAACCGCAUGGUUCAAUAGUGAAAGACGGUUUUGCUGUCACUUAUAGAUGGAUCCGCGCCGCAUUAGCUAGUUGGUAAGGUAACGGCUUACCAAGGCAACGAUGCGUAGCCGACCUGAGAGGGUGAUCGGCCACACUGGAACUGAGACACGGUCCAGACUCCUACGGGAGGCAGCAGUAGGGAAUCUUCCGCAAUGGGCGAAAGCCUGACGGAGCAACGCCGCGUGAGUGAUGAAGGUCUUCGGAUCGUAAAACGCUGUUAUUAGGGAAGAACAAAUGUGUAAGUAACUAUGCACGUCUUGACGGUACCUAAUCAGAAAGCCACGGCUAACUACGUG
rnacentral:rRNA from 1 species